rnacentral:rRNA from 1 species
GAUGAACGCUGGCGGCGUGCCUAAUACAUGCAAGUCGAGCGAAUGGAUUAAGAGCUUGCUCUUAUGAAGUUAGCGGCGGACGGGUGAGUAACACGUGGGUAACCUGCCCAUAAGACUGGGAUAACUCCGGGAAACCGGGGCUGAUACCGGAUAAUAUUUUGAACUGCAUGGUUCAAAAUUGAAAGGCGGCUUCGGCCGUCACUUAUGGAUGGACCCGCGUCGCAUUAGCUAGUUGGUGAGGUAACGGCUCACCAAGGCAACGCUGCGUAGCCGACCUGAGAGGGUGAUCGGCCACACUGGGACUGAGACACGGCCCAGACUCCUACGGGAGGCAGCAGUAGGGAAUCUUCCGCAAUGGACGAAAGUCUGACGGAGCAACGCCGCGUGAGUGAUGAAGGCUUUCGGGUCGUAAAACUCUGUUGUUAGGGAAGAACAAGUGCUAGUUGAAUAAGCUGGCACCUUGACGGUACCUAACCAGAAAGCCACGGCUAACUACGUGCCAGCCGCCGCGGUAA